UGCAGUCUAGCAAAUAUGGAAAAAUGGAUGAUGAGAUGAUGAAUGUCUAUUAUUUUCAUCAUCAGGCUGACGAACUUCUGGGCACCGCCAGUGAACAGUUCCUGGGCAAGAGCGUUAGCGAAAUUAAACAGACGAUCCUGCAGAC